rnacentral:rRNA from 1 species
AGAGUUUGAUCCUGGCUCAGAUUGAACGCUGGCGGUAUGCUUAACACAUGCAAGUCGAACGGAAACGACAAGAGCUUGCUCUUGGGCGUCGAGUGGCGGACGGGUGAGUAACGCGUAGGAAUCUGCCUAGUAGUGGGGGAUAGCCCAAGGAAACUUGGAUUAAUACCGCAUAAUAUCUAUGGAUUAAAGUGGAGGAUCUUCGGACUUCACGCUACUAGAUGAGCCUGCGUAAGAUUAGUUAGUUGGUGAGGUAAAAGCUCACCAAGGCGACGAUCUUUAGCUGGUCUGAGAGGAUGAUCAGCCACACUGGGACUGAGACACGGCCCAGACUCCUACGGGAGGCAGCAGUGGGGAAUAUUGGACAAUGGGGGCAACCCUGAUCCAGCAAUACCGCGUGUGUGAAGAAGGCCUGAGGGUUGUAAAGCACUUUCAAUUGUGAAGAAAAGUUAAGGAUU